rnacentral:rRNA from 1 species
UAGGGAAUCUUCGGCAAUGGACGAAAGUCUGACCGAGCAACGCCGCGUGAGUGAAGAAGGUCUUCGGAUCGUAAAACUCUGUUGUUAGAGAAGAACAAGGACGUUAGUAACUGAACGUCCCCUGACGGUAUCUAACCAGAAAGCCACGGCUAACUACGUGCCAGCAGCCGCGGUAAUACGUAGGUGGCAAGCGUUGUCCGGAUUUAUUGGGCGUAAAGCGAGCGCAGGCGGUUUCUUAAGUCUGAUGUGAAAGCCCCCGGCUCAACCGGGGAGGGUCAUUGGAAACUGGGAGACGUGAGUGCAGAAGAGGAGAGUGGAAUUCCAUGUGUAGCGGUGAAAUGCGUAGAUAUGUGGAGGAACACCAGUGGCGAAGGCGGCUCUCUGGUCUGUAUCUGACGCUGAGGCGCGAAAGCGUGGGGAGCAAACAGG